rnacentral:sRNA from 1 species
CUCCUACAUUUUUUUCUUAACAUAUACAUUUAGUUCCAUGAUUGUAUUAUAAUACAGCACACAUUGUGCACAUAGUCUCACAGUAGAGAGCUGUGGUGAUGGAGAAGAUAUUUCUUAACCCAAUAUGCACAAUCACAAUGACCAAUACGAUGAAGAUGCAAAUCUGAUGAGCACCUUUCAGCUGAGGUCCGCAUCCUGAGCAUGUACAGAGAGAUGCAAAUGACAGUGCACUAAGGGUCUGAGUUUGAGCAGUCAAUGGGUAGAAGAAUACAUGAAGAAUUGGUAGAUAAAAACAAUCAAAAUAUAUUAGCAAGGUUUAAUAGGAAAUUCAGCAAUAAGUUCAGUCACUGUGGGGGAAUCUAGCCAGACACAAGGCUGCCUCAGAGGCCCCAUGCAAGGACAAUGGGAACUUUAGUUCUCUGUCUUCGUCCAGUAGUGGACGUGGCCAGGCAAAUCUGACACAGGAUGCAGUGCCAUGAAGGAGUCAGUUACAUGGGGAUCUCACACUUCUCCUGUGACUGUGGUUAUCUGCCCCAAGGCAGCUGUUUCUGAGCUACCAUGUGUUCUCAUUGCCAAUAUUGUGACUCAUCUCUGGUGACCUUGGCCAUUUUCCAUCUACUAAUAUUACAGUGCUUGUUGUACCUUGCUUGCCUUUGGGUCAUCAGUUCAUAACCUGCUCCUGCUCUUUAUCCUGUUCCAAACUAUUGCUUUUGUCUUCUUUAUGUCUUUUUCUUUUUCAACCCAGGUCCACCCAUUGCCAUUUGAGGUCUUAAUUCCCAUGGGUUCAGUACAAAAUCCAUAUCCUAAAAUUCCUUUAUCUUACAUAAAUGAAAAAAGACAUCCAUUGAUCAAUAUUCUGCCAAGUUUCCUUUUCCUGAGAUUAUUGUUCAAUGGAAUAAACAUUAUAUCUUUAACUUGAUUUAUAAUCUUUUGGAUUCAACUUUUGAUACUCUUAGAUUUCUGAGACAGCAUAAAAAGAGACAGAAGACAGAAAACAGACAGGAGUCUGACCUUUGACACACAGGAGUAAAUUGAUUAGCUCACAAACUGAAAGACAGACUCACUCUCAUGGGAAAUUGAGUAUAAAAAGAGAGGAAAGAAGGCUGAAAUCAUUUAUAGGGGCAGAAUAAGGAGUUUGGGAAUGAGGCACAAAUUCCAUUUUUCUCUCCUGAAGUCUCUCCUUUGCCAAGUUGUUUUCUAAAGUUGAGACAGAUUAACUCUUCAGAAAUUCCUCUCUAGAAAGAGUAAGAAGACUGGCAAAGUCACUUGUAAUCUCAGAGCACCAAGCAAAGUGGAUUAGUUCUAGUGACCUGGGUCAGCAGUGCUCCUGAUACAGGUAAGUCAGUCUGAUAGCAUAGGAAGCAGGGUCACACAGCAAGUGGUACUUGUCUAUUUAUGCCUGAAGCAGUAAUGUCCAUUCUCAUCUGACAAAUCUUGCUUGUAGAAACAGGAUUCCAAUGUGAAUACAGCUGACUUUCCUCAACCUUACUUCUCUGCUACAACUAGCAAAGCGAUGUUUUGUGGGACAGCCUGUCACCCAAGCUAAUCUGUCUUGCCAAAGCAGACAACAUCAAGGAGAGACUGCAGACCUGCAUGAGGCUCGUAGAGCAGCAGCAUCUUCCUCAUUUCCCCCAACUGAUAGAAAAUAGAAAUAUUUGCAAUUACACAUAACUUAGAUGAACACUAGCCCCUCACUUGUCUCUUUACAAGGUACAAGCCAGAUUUCUCCAUUCACACAACACUCAUCCCAUAUUCCUGUGCACCUUUUUGUGUGUACUGAUAUGUAGUCCUAUCUGUUGCUCUCAACUUUUUCCUGAUCUUCUUCUCUUUGUUCAUGCUCACAAAUCUAACAACAUUCAUGUUGUAACAAAUGACCAUAUUGAAUCUUGUAUCAUCAUUAAAUAGUAUCUCAAAUUAAUCACGUGUACCACAAUUCCCUUAUUAUUUUCUUUAUGAUUUAGUUGAACUUCAUAUUAAUUAAAGAAAUUCACUUCCAAGGACACUAAGAUGAACUCAAAAUCAAAGAAAAGGGGAAUAUAAUGAAAAAUAGGGUGUUAAAAGAAUACAGAGCUGUUUUAUGAUGGAAAAGAAUAAAGGGAGCUAUUAUGAAGUAAGACUUAAACCUAAUUAAACAAUAUUUAAUUUUCCUGUGGAUGGGCUGACUGCUAGGACAUGCCUGCAUUUUCUCCUAAAAACCUUAUGAUCAGUUCUCAUAGAAAAAUAAACAAUAUAAAAGGUCACACUGGUAUUUCUCCUCAAUAUUCUACGAGAUAGAAAUAUUGGCAAUUAUGCAUUACUUAGAUGAACACUAGUACACGGAUUUUAUAAGUACAAUCAUAAACUUCAUCAAAGACUCCAAAACAUUUUUAAAAGGCAUAAAGAAGCAUCUCAGUGCCAUUAAAGACAAAGGUCAUAAGGAGAAUGAAUGCUGCUGUGAUGCCCAAGAAACCAAGAACAUCAGAAUGAUGGAAAUGAUAAAACAUUCGAGGAUUUCAAACUGGAAUUCAAUAAAGAGAAACACUGAAGAGGUCUCUAGCAACAAUGAAGACAGAAGUCAAAAGCCCAAAAUCCAAAAUGAAAGCUUAAAAGAAAAACAAUAGAAUUAAUCAGCAGAAGACAGCAUAUAAGAACUUAAAAGAUAAGGUAGAUGAUCUAGAAAAAAAUAAAAUAAGAAUAUGAAAUAAAAUAAGAAAAAAAAUCUGUGGGAAUGAAAUAUAUAGGAAAUAUUAGAGACUGUGAAAAGGCCAUGUCUUCAAAUUACAGGUAUAGAUGAGGGAGAAAAAUUCCGAGGCAAUGGCACAUAUAUGAUCUUCAUAGAGGCUGUAAAAGAAAUCUUCCCUAAACUAAGGAAAGAGAUACCCAUAAUAAAUUAAAAAAUUCUACCAAUAACACUAAUUGGAUAAGACCAGAAAAUAAAAUACUCAUGGAAAAAAAAUCUGUAAGUGAAAAAACACAUUUAUUAAAAUAACAGCCUAUAUCUAAAUGGAUCUUUGAAAGCCAAAAGAACCUGAAGAAAUAAAUGUCUUCCAAGUCCUAAAGAAGCUAUGACGUCCAACCUAAGCUACUGUACCACACAACUGUCUGCAGUAGCUGAAGGAAAAAGAAAAACUAUCCACAAUAUAAAGAGCAUUUCAAGAAUUAUAUUCUAUAACCCAAACCUAUAGAAAAUACAGAUCACAGCAUUUUAGGCUAUAGAGAGGGAUGAGCACAGCCACAAGCCUCUAGAAAGGAAUGGGAAGCCAAAAUUACUAAAAUACAAAGGGCCACUGAGAACACAA